CCUACGGGCGGCAGCAGUCGAGAAUCAUUCACAAUGGGGGAAACCCUGAUGGUGCGACGCCGCGUGGGGGAAUGAAGGUCUUCGGAUUGUAAACCCCUGUCAUGUGGGAGCAAAUUAAAAAGAUAGUACCACAAGAGGAAGAGACGGCUAACUCUGUGCCAGCAGCCGCGGUAAUACAGAGGGCUCAAGCGUUGUUCGGAAUCACUGGGCGUAAAGCGUGCGUAGGCUGUUUCGUAAGUCGUGUGUGAAAGGCGCGGGCUCAACCCGCGGACGGCACAUGAUACUGCGAGACUAGAGUAAGGGAGGGGGAACCGGAAUGCUCGGUGUAGCAGUGAAAUGCGUAGAUAUCGAGAGGAACACUCGUGGCGAAGGCGGGUUCCUGGACAUUAACUGACGCUGAGGCACGAAGGCCAGGGGAGCGAAAGGGAUUAGAUACCCUUGUAGUC
rnacentral:rRNA from 1 species